GAUGAACGCUGGCGGCGUGCCUAACACAUGCAAGUCGAACGGACAGACGACGAGCUUUUUCGUGUGAGGGUAGCGGCGGACGGGGGGGUAGUAAGUGGAUAACAAACUGCUCAGUCUUGGAGGAUAACGGGAAGCAAGUGCGGCUAAUACGGAAUAUAUUGAACCGGUUGGAUCAAGGGUGAGUGACGGAUUUGGUGUCAGUUGGAGAUGGAUCGGCGGCGCAUUAGCUAGUUGGUGAGGUAACGGCCUACCAAGGCAGCGAUGCGUAGCCGGCCUGAGAGGGUGAUCGGCCACAAUGGAACUGAGACACGGCCCAGACGCCUACGGGAGGCAGCAGUAGGGAAUAUUACGCAAUGGGCGGAAGCCUGAUGGAGCAACGCCGCGUGGGUGAUGAAGGUCUUCGGCUCGUAAAGCACUGUUAUUGGGAAAGAACAAAUGCUGCCGUAUCUGUGGAUGUCUUGACGGUACCUAAAUAAAAAGCGCCGGCUAACUACGUG
rnacentral:rRNA from 1 species